rnacentral:siRNA from 1 species
UGGCCCAAUUGAUUUACAUGGUA